UACGUAGGGCGCAAGCGUUGUCCGGAAUUAUUGGGCGUAAAGAGCUCGUAGGCGGUUUGUCGCGUCUGCUGUGAAAACCUAAGGCUCAACCUUGGGCUUGCAGUGGGUACGGGCAGACUAGAGUGCGGUAGGGGUGACUGGAAUUCCUGGUGUAGCGGUGGAAUGCGCAGAUAUCAGGAGGAACACCGAUGGCGAAGGCAGGUCACUGGGCCGCAACUGACGCUGAGGAGCGGAAAGC
rnacentral:rRNA from 1 species